rnacentral:rRNA from 1 species
UACUCGAGUGGCGAACGGGUGAGUAACACGUGGGUGAUCUGCCCUGCACUCUGGGAUAAGCCUGGUAAACUGGGUCUAGUACCGGAUAGGACCAUGCUUUAGUGUGUGUGGUGGAAAGUUUUUUCGGUGUAGGAUGAGCCCGCGGCCUAUCAGCUUGUUGGUGGGGUAAUGGCCUACCAAGGCGGCGACGGGUAGCCGGACUGAGAGGUUGGUCGGCCACAUUGGGACUGAGAUACGGCCCAG